UCCAUGGACUGGCACGAAUGGCUGCGAUCAUGGCCUCAACUUACAAGGCAUAUUUGGGUGUAGGCCUUGGCCCAUUAUCGGUAGGAGUGUGAUAAGCACAUGUUGUUGUCUACUUAAAAUAAACUCGAGCUUUCCGUGGAGUUCUGCAUGCAUUUCAUUACAGCCUAUAUUAUGUUUUACAGUUUUUGACAAAGUUUAGGAUACCACAUCCAGGAAGAGUUGGAGGGAGCUUUUUUAUUGACCUUGCAAUGCCUUUAAUGUUGAGUUGGGUCCUCGGCGGUAAUGAUCAGGAAUCUUGGUAAUUUCCUUUGAUGCAAGUUCAAGGGAUUCACAUCUUUUUUGUCUACAAAAUCAUGUGAGUUUUUGAAGUGCCAUCAUUGUGAAAUAAAAUUACUUUUUUAUAUAAUUCAGUCCCUCAAAUGUCUAUUAUAGUUAGAUUGUUGUUUUCUUAAGGAAUAUUAAAAUGCCUAUGGCCAAUCACUAUGUGCACCACAAAACACCCCUUUUGAAUAUGAUGAGCGUAAAGCAUUUGGUGCUGGAUUUCUUAUGAAGGCAACCCUAUUGCUUCUCAAAUAAAAUCCUUCACACUAACAUAUAAUAUAAUGAUACUGUUUCCAUUUUUUUUAUAAAGUAAACUUUGUACUGGAAGAUUACUAAUAUGCUCUCAUUUUUAUUGGGAACUUAAAGAUAAAAAAAU